rfam:Helianthus annuus linkage group 13, whole genome shotgun sequence.
AGGCCGUGAUGGGGACACUUGCGUAAUAGCUCCUUGAACCUUUCCCAAGUUUCAUAUAAGGAUUCCCCGUCCUCUUGUGAGUAUGUAUUAAUUUCAGCCU